CCACACAAUUUAUUUGACAAAUUCAACACUCAAAAUAAAAAAUCCAGAACCCAACCAAACCCAAACUUAAAAUCUAAAAUUUAAAAAUUUAAAACCCAAUACUAACCUUAAAUCUUAAUAUUCAAAAUUUAAAAUCUAAAUUCAAAAUCUAAAUUCCAAAAUUAACAACCCAAUACUCUUAACCUUACUUUAAACUCUUUAAUAAAAAUUCAAAAUUACAAAACCAAAACCAAAAC
rnacentral:lncRNA from 1 species